rnacentral:rRNA from 1 species
GACGAACGCUGGCGGCGCGCUUAAUACAUGCAGGUCGAGCGAGAACCUGGGCUUCGGCCCAGGGGAAAGCGGCGAACGGGUGAGUAACACGUGGGUAAUCUGCCCUCGGCACCGGGAUAGCCCGGGGAAACCCGGAUUAAUACCGGACGGCCUCUCGAGCCCUCGGGCUCGUGAGAAAAGGUAGCUUCGGCCUCCGGCCGAGGAGGAGCCCGCGGCGGAUUAGCUUGGUGGCGGGGUAACGGCCCACCAAGGCGACGAUCCGUAGCUGGUCUGAGAGGACGAUCAGCCACACUGGGACUGAGACACGGCCCAGACUCCUACGGGAGGCAGCAGUAGGGAAUCUUGCGCAAGGGGCGAGAGCCUGACGCAGCGACGCCGCGUGCGGGAAGAAGGCCUUCGGGUUGUAAACCGCUUUCAGGAGGGACGAAGCCACUCGGGUGAAUAGCCCAGAGGGUGACGGUACCUCCAGAAGAAGCCCCGGCUAACUACGUGCCAGCCGCCGCCGUAAUAC